GGUUCCGUGGUGUAGCGGUUAGCACUCAGUACUUUGAAUCUUGCAACUGGAGUUCAAAUCUCUUCAGAACCU
rnacentral:tRNA from 1 species